GACGAACGCUGGCGGCGUGCUUAACACAUGCAAGUCGAACGAAGUGGCGAACGGGUGAGUAACGCGUAAUCAAGCUGCCCUUCAGAGGGGGACGAAAGUUGGCAACGACUGCUAAUACCGCAUACUGAAGGAGGGGAGUGCGUCUGAUUAGCUAGUUGGGGGGGUAACGGCCCACCAAGGCGAUGAUAAGUAGACGGUCCGAGAGGAUGAACGGCCAAAGUGGGACUGAGAAACGGCCCAGACUCCUACAGGAGGCAGCAUGGUGGAAUCUUCCGCAAAUGACCAAAGUCUGACGCAGCAACGCCGCGGGAGUUAUUACGGCUCUCGGGAUGUAAAGCUCUGUUAAUCGGGACGCGGUACCGGAAUAGAAAGCCACGGCUAACUCCGUGCCAGCAGCCGCGGUAAUUC
rnacentral:rRNA from 1 species